rnacentral:rRNA from 1 species
CCCGCACAAGCGGAGGAACAUGUGGUUUAAUUCGAUGAUACGCGAGGAACCUUACCUGGGUUUAAAUGGGAAGUGACAGCUUUAGAAAUAGAGCCUUCUUCGGACACUUUUCAAGGUGCUGCAUGGUUGUCGUCAGCUCGUGCCGUGAGGUGUCGGGUUAAGUCCCAUAACGAGCGCAACCCCUAUUGAUAGUUACCAGCACGUAAUGGUGGGGACUCUAUCGAGACUGCCGGUGUAAACCGUGAGGAAGGUGGGGAUGACGUCAAAUCAGCACGGCCCUUACAUCCAGGGCUACACACGUGUUACAAUGGCCGGUACAAAGGGCAGCUACUCCGCGAGGAGAUGCGAAUCUUAAAAACCGGUCUCAGUUCGGAUCGAAGUCUGCAACCCGACUUCGUGAAGCUGGAUUCGCUAGUAAUCGUAUAUCAGCCAUGAUACGGUGAAUACGUUCCCGGGCCUU